GCUCUAUGCAGGCACCUAGUGGGAAAUGAUGUGUUCUGGACUGUGUUGGUGCUGCUGUAUAGUACCACUGACGUGCAGAUGACUUCUGGAAAAGGUUGGCAUGAAAGCAUUGGAGCUUGUGACAGGAAGAGCUGCCGAUCAAGUGACGAGCUGAGAGCUGAGAGCAGAGCCCAGAUCUGUGGAGCAUGGGGCAUCUCUUCUGGGAAGCCCUUGGGUAAAUGAAUCUGCCGCCUACCUUGUGUGCCUUGAUUUUAAUGUGGGCAUUGAGGAGGAGCCAGCUAUCAGAACCGUGGCCAGAGAUGGAUGUGUUGGGAAGCUGCCACUAAUUACUGUGGUGUCUGACAAUUCACUGGUGUUAAGCCUUCCCUUGCAAGUUCUCAGCCAUGCACCCAGAAACAAAAAACAAAGGCGUGGAAAAAGUUCCUGCGUGCUGCUGGACAAAAGUUUUGUGCUGACGCAUGCAGUCCCUGUUAAUGGGGACUGAAGUCGCACUGAAAGAAGAAAAUGCCCCAUUCUGAAGGCUGCUUGGCAGGGAGACAG
ensembl:lncRNA